rnacentral:rRNA from 1 species
CCCUUAGAUGUUCUGGGCUGCACGCGUGCUACAAUGGCGUUUCCAGCAAGUCUGCGAACCCGAGAGGGCCAGCGGAUCUUCGAAUUGGCGUCGUGAUCGGGACAGUCGAUUGCAAUUAUUUGACUCAAACGAGGAAUUCCUUGUAAUCGCGAUUCAUCAUACCGCGCUGAAUACGUCCCUGCCCUUUGUACACACCGCCCGUCGCUCCUACCGAUUGAGCGAUCCGGUAAAUGUUUUGGAUUGGUGCCGGGGCGGCUAGCUGCCGGUCGCUACGAAAUUUUGUGAACCUUAUCGCUUAGAGGAAGGAAAAGUCGUAACA